UGGCAGCUGCAGCUUUGAUUUGAUCCCUAGCCUGGGAAUCUCUAUAUGCCAUGGGCAUAGCCCUAAAAAAGACCAACAGAUAUAAUUUAGGUAGAUUUAAAAUUCAGAUGACAGUAUAAAAUAAAAAUUAUACAUCUUUUCUAAGAAUAGCUGCCUUAUAUUUUCAAUACUGAUUUAAGACUUCUGAAAUGAAAAUACAUGUUAUUAAAUGUAUUUUGCAUACAAAAGCCUUGUGAAAUAAUUGACAGAUUUUUGUAUUUAUAAUCCACAUUAUUAUACCUUUCUGAUGUUUUUUGUACUAUUAAAUAUAUUUAAGCCUUUUUAUCUUAACACAGUAAAAUUUUAAAAAUUCAUUCUAAAAAUCAAGAUAGAGAUCUAAAAGUAAUUAACUUCCUUUAAGAGCAUAUAGAAAAUUAGCAGAGUUCCCAUCGUGGCGCAGUGGUUAACAAAUCUGACUAGGAACCGUGAGUUUGCGGGUUCGAUCCCUGGACUUGCUCAGUGGGUUAAUGAUCCGCGUUGCUGUGAGCUGUGGUGUAGGUCACAGACGCGGCUUGGAUCCUGCGUUGCUGUGGCUCUGGCAUAGGCCGGUGGCUACGGCUCCUAUUCAACCCCUAGCCUGGGAACCUCCAUAUGCCACGGGAGCGGCCCAAGAAAUAGCAAAAAGACAAAAAAAAAAAAAAAAGAAAACUAACAAAGACAUGAGAAAACUUUCACCCUAGUAAUAUACUCAUAUCAGUCAGGAAACUCUGAGAUUUAUUUUAUCUGAUUUCUUCAAAAACCUUCCAAGUCAAUGUGCAGCAUCAGCUCCACCCUCCAGACUUAAUGAGGGAACCAUAAGGAAUCAUGAAUACAAGGCUUGUGCCCUCAAAUGAAGUACUGUUGCUUUUGUUAUCAAAAGUAGAUGCAGAUAAAGGUGUCAGUCCAAGAUUUGCCACAGCUAGCUGUGAAUCCCUUCUUCGGCAGUCCCUAUAUUUUUCUAGGCUUUGAGCUGAUAGCGUGAGAGACUGGGCCAAAGAAUCUUUAAGGUCUCGGGAGUUGCCUUUGUUGUGCAGCAGAAAUGAAUCUGACUAGAAUCCAUGAGGAUGCAGGUUCCAUCCCUGGCCUCAGUCGCUGGGUUAAGGAUCCUGUGUUGCCAUGAGCUGUAGUAUAGGUUGUAGAUGCAGCUUGAGGGUUGGGGAGAAAUCUUUAAGAUCUCUUCCAGCUGGCAUUUUCCUGCCUUUUGGAUGGUGACUGUGGUGGGCAGGGCCAUUAGUCCCCAAGUGAGCUGACCAAUGCCACUGCUCCACCCUCUGUCAUAGGAGAAGUGGACUGAGGGAGUUGCCCAGGUUGGUGAGCAGAGGGAAAGCAAACUUUUCCAACUGGCUGGAAAAAGUCCUGAUAGGCUCUCAUUCCUAUAACCUGUAGUUCUCUCUGCAAGAGGUGACAUGUCACCCUCCCCACGGGACUUUUCCCUUUAGGGUGAAAUUUGACAGUGAGGUUGAUGUCUGUAUUUCCUUCUUAGAGCUUGGUUUCACUCACAUCACAACAUUGCCUGUUUAACUCCCCUGCACUCUAGGACAGAGAUCAUGGGAGAUGACCCAGCUCUUUAGGAAAACCUUUGGCAUGAAGGAUCACAAUGCUUAAAAGUAUUCAUAGACUUCUAUCUCAUACUCUUACUUCCAAAAAUCUAUCUUAAAGAAGUAAUUCUAAAUGUCAUUAAAGACUCAGGCAUAAAAUAUUCAUCAUCGAGCUGUAUAAUUUAUAAUUGCGUAAUAUUGGAAGCAAACUAAAUGUCCAGAACUAGGGGAAUGGUGAAGUCAUAGUAGAUUGAGAUGAUGAAAUAUUGUGUUAACAAAAGGUAUUAAAGGGUUUGAAAUAAAAACUUGGAAAAUGUUUAUCUUGCAAAAUGGUAUGUGGAGAAAGCAAGAUACAAAAUUGAUUGUAUGAUAUAUUUUUAUCUUGUAAUCAAAAAAUGAAUAGAAAAAUAUUUGAAAAGAAAUACUCCAAAAUGUUAACAGUGGUAUUUCUGGAUGCUGGGAUUCUUUCAUGUUCGUAUUCAUUUAUUAUUUUUUAUCAAUAUGCUUUUAUUAUUAGAGUAAAAUAUGAUUGGAAUAUAAAACCUGUUUUAAAAAAUCAAGCUCUUAUUCAUCUCAUAAUGUUUCUGAGGAAGCUGUUCAUGAUCAUGGUUUGUUGAGCUAUGCUAAUAUGCUUUUCAAGUUUUCUGCCAAAGAUUUCUUAAGAAUCACCAGUUUUCUUCUCCUCAUGACAAUGGAGCUAACUAGACCAUUCCCUGCAGUAACUGAAAACAGCCAUCAGCUCCUGAAAUUUUAAUUAAUUCUAACAUUCUGCCAUAAUUACAUACAGCUCUUUUAAGCCUCAAAGUUUCCAAUAAAUCCAGAGUAAACUCUAGAGAAGAAGUGUGAUGUGGGUGGUUUGUCUUCUUCAAUAUCCUGACCCUUUCUCAAACUUGUCCAGUUUUCACUAGCCAGCGUCUUUCUCAGUACAUCCCUCUGCUGUUUGUUUGCCUCCCAUUGGCUUCUUUCUGGACUCCACGGGAUGUUCCCCUUGUCCAAGAGUAAAUAAGUAAUCCUUAUUUUCUAGUUCUGCUGCCUGGUCACCUCCCCAGUUAAUUUUCCAUAAAAAUGAUUUACAAACUCUUUUUCAUGUCUUUGGUGUGUAAUUUUUGCUAAAGUAAAAUAAUACCUACAUAUUGCUAAUGGAUAAAGUGCUGCCUCCUCCACCUGAAUACCAUACAUAUUUAUUGAGGCACUUGCAAUGUAGUAGAAAAAGUAAUGGAUUUAUAAAUUAAUAUUUAUUUUGUGUAGUUUUUAAAUGAAACACAUCUAUAGCCUCACACAGUUACCUUACGUGUGCUUGUGUGUAUGGUGAGAACAUAAGAUUUACUCUCUCAGCAAAUUUCAAGUACUAAUACAGUAUUAUUAACUAUAACCACCGUGUUGUAUAUUACAUCCUCAUAACUUAUUCAUCUUAUAACUAAUGGUUUGUACCCUUCCACCAUCAAAUGCUUUACAUUCAGUAAACUAUGUAAUAAUUUAGAACAAUAUCAAAAGAUGGCUGCACAACUUGAAUUAGAAUAUGACUAAAGCAUUGCUUUUUUACUUGAGAAAGAUAAAUGAUCAACUGAUUUCUUCUGAAAUUUUAUCCAGUUUGGAAACAGUCUAAAAAGGUGAAAAAAUCACAAAUUCUUCAUAGCAUGACUUUAAGAAAGCAAUUCUGGUUGGCUUUUCAAAAACCUGGCAUUAGAAAUCCCAGC
rnacentral:lncRNA from 1 species